UGGGUGAUGUGGAGAUUCCACAAGGC
rnacentral:piRNA from 1 species